AGAUUUUCUCACUAGAAGAACACACGAGCCUAUGAAAAUGACUUAUGAGAUUGCUAGCUCUAAUAGAUGAGCUUGAAGCAUUGUGACCUGAAUUUAAACUCCUUGGGAACAAAUUGAACAAUUGGAGAGCUCGAGAGAAAACUGGAAGAGCAGGAGCAGAACUCAAAGAACUUGCUUUAACAAAAGGUCACUUAUUAAUCGAUUAGAAGAAGUAAAUCCUGGGAAGUUGAAAAAUGAAGAAAAUCUAGCUUU